CACGCAGGCGGUUUGUUAAGUCAUAUGUGAAAUCCCCGGGCUCAACCUGGGAACUGCAUCUGAUACUGGCAAGCUUGAGUCUCGUAGAGGGGGGUAGGAAUUCCAGGUGUAGCGGUGAAAUGCGUAGAGAUCUGGAGGAAUACCGGUGGCGAAGGCGGGCCCCCUCGGACGAAGACUGACGCUCAGGUGCGAAAGCGUGGGAGCAAACA
rnacentral:rRNA from 1 species